rnacentral:rRNA from 1 species
AGCGAACGCUGGCGGCAGGCCUAACACAUGCAAGUCGAACGAACCUUUCGGGGUUAGUGGCGGACGGGGGAGUAACACGUGGGAACGUGCCUUUAGGUUCGGAAUAACUCAGGGAAACUUGUGCUAAUAAAGAAUGUGCCCUUCGGGGGAAAGAUUUAUUGCCUUUAGAGUGGCCCGCGUAUGAUUCGGUAGUUGGUUAAGGGAAUGGCUCACCAAGGCGACGAUCAGUAGCUGGUGUGAUAGGAUGAUCCGCCACAUUGGGACUGCGCCACGGCCUAAAAUCCUACGGGAGGGAGCAGUGGGGAAUCUUGCGCAAUGGGCGAAGGCCUGACGCAGCCAUGCCGCGUGAAUGAUGAAGGUCUUAGGAUUGUAAAAUUCUUUCACCGGGGACGAUAAUGACGGUACCCGGAGAAGAAGCCCCGGCUAACUUCGUG